GCGUCUCUGGCGCAAUGGUAGCGCGUUGCACUCCUAGGUAAUGCAGAGGCUCCGAGUUCAAGUCUCGGGUGACGUU
rnacentral:tRNA from 1 species